rfam:Arabis alpina cultivar Pajares chromosome 5, whole genome shotgun sequence.
ACUCCAUGAUGAGGACAAGACCUACUAUAACAUUUCAAUCUUUCCCAAGUUUCAUAGAGUGCCUCGUUCGGACCUUGCUUGAAGCUUGUAAUGUCAUUCCUAAUCCG